GACGGACCACACAAACGUUAUUCGGAAUUACUGGGCUUAAAGGGUGCGUAGGCUGUGCAGAAAGUUGGGUGUGAAAUCCCUCGGCUCAACCGAGGAAUUGCGCCCAAAACUACUGUGCUCGAGGAAGACAGAGGUAAGCGGAACUUAGGGUGGAGCGGUGAAAUGCGUUGAUAUCCUAAGGAACACCGGUGGCGAAAGCGGCUUACUGGGUCUUUUCUGACGCUGAGGCACGAAAGCUAGGGUAGCGAACGGG
rnacentral:rRNA from 1 species